rnacentral:rRNA from 1 species
AACGAACGCUGGCGGCGCGCCUAACACAUGCAAGUCGAGCGAUUAAAGCUCCUUCGGGAGUAUAUAAAGCGGCGGACGGGUGAGUAAGGCAUAGACAACCUGCCCUAAAGAGGGGGAUAGCUUGGAGAAAUUCGGGUUAAUACCGCGUAAGCUGUUUGAGUGAAUACAACCAGUAAAGGCUUCGGCCGCUUUGGGAUGGGUCUAUGUUAGAUUAGAUAGUUGGUGGGGUAACGGCCUACCAAGUCGACGAUCUAUAACUGGUCUGAGAGGAUGAUCAGUCACACUGGAACUGAGACACGGUCCAGACUCCUACGGGAGGCAGCAGUGAGGAAUUUUGCGCAAUGGGCGAAAGCCUGACGCAGCGACGCCGCGUGGAGGACGAAGUCUCUCGAGAUGUAAACUCCUGUCAGUGGGGAUGAUAAUGACAGUACCCACAGAGGAAGCACCGGCUAACUCCGUGCCAGCAGCCGCGGUAAGACGGAGGGUGCAAGCGUUGUUCGGAUUUACUGGGCGUAAAGCGUACGUAGGCGGCUUUGUAAGUCAGUGGUGAAAUCCUGCCGCUUAACGGUAGAAUUGCCAUUGAUACUGCAGGGCUUGAGUAUGGUUGAGGUAGGCGGAAUGUGUGGUGUAGCGGUGAAAUGCAUAGAUAUCACACAGAACACCGAUUGCGAAGGCAGCUUACUAAACCAUUACUGACGCUGAGGCACGAAAGCGUGGGGAAGCGAACAGGAUUAGAUACCCUGGUAGUCCACGCCGUAAACGAUGUUCACUCGCUGUUUGCAAUACACAGUAAGUGGCUUAGCGAAAGCAUUAAGUGAACCACCUGGGGAGUACGAUCGCAAGGUUGAAACUCAAAGGAAUUGACGGGGGCCCGCACAAGCGGAGGAACAUGUGGUUUAAUUCGAUGAUACGCGAGGAACCUUACCUGGGCUUAAAUGUAGAUUGCAUAGGGUAGAAAUCCUUUUCCUUCGGGACUAUUUACAAGGUGCUGCAUGGUUGUCGUCAGCUCGUGCCGUGAGGUGUCGGGUUAAGUCCCAUAACGAGCGCAACCCCUAUCGUUAGUUGCCAGCGGGUCAUGCCGGGGACUCUAGCGAGACUGCCACCGUAAGGUGAGAGGAAGGUGGGGAUGACGUCAAAUCAGCACGGCCCUUAUGUCCAGGGCUACACACGUGUUACAAUGGCCGAUACAAAGGGCAGCUACCAGGUGACUGGAUGCUAAUCUCUAAAGUCGGUCUCAGUUCGGAUCGAAGUCUGCAACCCGACUUCGUGAAGUUGGAUUCGCUAGUAAUCGUAUAUCAGCAAUGAUACGGUGAAUACGUUCCCGGGCCUUGUACACACCGCCCGUCAAGCCAUGGAAGCUGGGGGUACCUGAAGUCUGUCACCGCAAGGAGCGGCCUAGGGUAAAACUAGUAACUGGUGUU